AACUGCAUCAAAACAUGUCAACAAGGACCUUGGCAAUAUGGAGGAGAAUAAAAAGCUAGAGGAAAACAACCACAAAACAGAAGCCUAAGAGAGGAGUGGUUCCAAGUCUCCAGAGAAAACCCAUAUAGACAAAUUGAAGCAUGGACAUGGAUUGUAUUUAAGACACAUACAAAGACAAUGACAGCAAUUCAUGGUUCAAGUAUUAAGCAGUUCAUCCUCCCAAGCUGUCACAGGAUCUUAGAGAAUUAUCUCAAGUGAAACAAUGAAACAAAGUUAUAAAAUCAAAUAACAGCAAGAUUUGGCAGCCAUGAUAAUAGGUCAUAUGUUGUAUUUUGUUUGUUUUUUUUUCUGUAAAUGUCUGCACUAAGGAUUUCCUUUCAGUUUGCCUUUUAUGUAAAUUUUUUACGUAGCUAUUUUUAUACACUGUAAGCUUUGUUCUGGGAGUGGCUGUUAAUUGGAUGUAUAAUGUAAUGUUUUAUUUCAAUUGUUUAUAUGGAUAGUCUGAGCAGGUACGGUUCUGAUUCUGAUUGCUAUCAAUAAUGCCCCAAAUUUUCUUACAAGGACCUGAAACCCAAAGGUUGCCGUUUGCAAGGUUGGGGACAUAUACCUCGCCCAAUCAGAAGCUGGCUUCUUAAUUCUGAGAAUAGGAGGCCAGCCCAAGCGAGAGUCAGGAGCACUACAGGGUGUGAUGACCUGUGUGCUGCCAGCAUGCUCUCAGAAGCAAGUCCCAGAUACAAACAGCAACACCACGUGAAUGAUACUCCCCAACUGACAAUUCUGUCUUCUCUGAAGAAGACAUGCACAGAACUUGGGUCACAUUUACUUAACAACACCUUCUAGGAGAUUACACUCAGUCAAAAGAAAAGUUAGAAAAAAAAUUAGGAAACCAAAACUUAUUUUUUUUGGGAAGUUUGGAAAAAAUGACAACUAGCGUUCCCGUUUUCACAGAUUACAUUGUAAAUCACUGUAAUUACAAUUGGUGUUAAAUCCUUUGGGUUAUCCACUGCCUUAAAAUGACACUUAUUUCCUUUAAAAUAAAUAAAAUAAGAGAUAUCAGUCAGAAUUGCAGAUUUAUAACAGUGGUCAUUAUUAAAGCUGUGUUAUUUUCCACAGAAUAUAGAAUAUAUAUAUUUUUUUCGUGUGUGUUUUUGUUAACUACGCUACAGAUAUUGAAUGCACCUUGAGAUAAUUUAGUGUUUUUAACUGGUACAUAAUUUAUCAAGCAGUACAUGAAAGUGUAAUAAUAAAACGUCUAUGUAUCUUUAGUUACAUCAGAUUUGUAACUUUAUAAACAUGUUUUCUGCCUGAGGAACUUUUUAAGGAGGUAGUGUACAUGGGAACUUUUUGAAGUAGACUGAAUGAGGCCCGUAGCAAUUUGUGACUAGACUUUAAUCUUUGCUCUUUCAGGUAGACGCUUGGUUUCUGGGAUUACACUGCACAGCCAUUUUGUCUGGGAUUUACGUGUAUAACUUUAUCUGAGAAAAUAAAAAUGACUAUUUCCAGGUAUAGCACUAUGUUCUUUGAGAGGAAAAGGAAAUGUGGGGUUUGCCUUUAGACUCAAAGAUUAAGCUGUUUUGAAGGCAAUGAGAAACUAAUAAAGAUUCAUCUCUGAAGGAGGUUGGGAAUAAUCUUUUGCCACUUCUGUGUAUGGAGAGAUGUGUCUUUGUACAUUUGUAACCACUUGAUAUCUGAGCAAUAGUGUCUCAGCUUAAUAAAAGCUUCCUAUAGUACAUUGGUAUGGACUAAAUACACAAAAUAUUCUAUUAGACUUAAUGCUCUAUUAAAUGUGGGGGAAAAGAAAACAUGUUAUUUUGCCUCUAAACUUUGAUUUAUUCAAGUUUUAUUUGGCAAGAAAAAAAUUUAAUCUUAAUCAAUAUUUAAACCAAAGGGAAAGGGGAAAAACAAAACAAAACCAAAGUUCUUUGUUUUGCAUGGCUAAGCCAUUUUGUUUAUCUCUGUAAAUAAUAUGAUUUCUUUUUGUUUUCUUUUCUUUUUCUCUUUAGAAUUUUGUUAAAGAAAUUCUAAAAGUUUUAAACACCUGCUUUCCACAAUAAGCCAUGAACACUACAGUGAGAUUAGUUCUGUAUUAUUUUUUUUUUGCUUGUUUUGUUUGCUUUUUUUUUCCUUUGGUUUGGAAGAUCAAAGGUUUAAAGUCUUACUCCUAAGAUGUGUUUGCAGAAAAGUAACAGGGCAACAAAAAGAGAGUGUUUACUCUAGUCUGGCGCGGUGUACACUUGUAAUUGUAACUGAGUCCAGGAACAGCUGUUAUAGCCUAGACAGCAGCAGGAGAGACUCAGAGCUCUCGCCCAGGAGCCGAUGUUUACAAGAGAGGACGGACAAGAUGGCCACUUCUGCAUCAGUGUCUGCAUAAGGAGGAAGCUCGGGUGCUCUUGAGCAACUCCGCGUGCUCUCCCGCAGGAAAGAAGCUAAUUUGCAGUUCUACUUCUGGGGUUUCUUUUCUCCAGUUGUACAGUUGGCCACAGAUUUUUAACCAGUUCAAGGUUCACUCCCUAUAUGUAAUUAUAGGAAUUGUAUGUGGAAAUGGAUUAACAUAUCCCUCUAUGCCUAAAAGAAAAUAAAAAUGAAAUAUGUCUUCACAUAUCU